rnacentral:rRNA from 1 species
UACAGAGGGGCCAAGCGUUAUGCGGAAUCACUGGGCUUAAAGCGUGUGUAGGUGGAUGCCUAAGUGCCUUGUGAAAUCCCACGGCUCAACCGUGGAAUUGCUGGGCAUACUGGGUGUCUUGAGCCAUCCAGGGGUCGCUGGAACAAACGGUGGAGCGGUGAAAUGCGUAGAUAUCGUUUGGAACGCCAAUGGUGAAAACAGGCGACUGGGGAUGAGCUGACACUGAGACACGAAAGCCAGGGGAGCAAACGGG